CAGCAGCCGCGGUAAUACGUAGGGUGCGAGCGUUAAUCGGAAUUACUGGGCGUAAAGCGUGCGCAGGCGGUUCGUUAAGACAGAUGUGAAAUCCCCGGGCUUAACCUGGGAACUGCAUUUGUGACUGGCGAGCUAGAGUAUGGCAGAGGGGGUAGAAUUCCACGUGUAGCAGUGAAAUGCGUAGAGAUGUGGAGGAAUACCGAUGGCGAAGGCAGCCCCCUGGGCCAAUACUGACGCUCAUGCACGAAAGCGUGGGGAGCAAACAGGAUUAGAGACCCGCGUAGUCCCUGUCUCUUAUACA
rnacentral:rRNA from 1 species